GCCAUCUUCUAACCCAGAGGUUCCUGGUUGCCUGAGAAGCUAAGCAGGAAUUUUGCAAGCAGAAGGAAACAGGGAGGGGAAAAGCCAUGGUUUCUGCUGAUUUCCUUAGUCCAAAAUCAGUGCUUACAGAAGAAGGAGGGCACAUGUCCUGUUCUGCUCUCUUGAAUCCUCCUCAGAAGAGCCCAUAGAAACACGGGAAGGCCCAAGGGGAAUCUCUUGCUGCUGGAAAUGACACUGCGUGGGACCCAGAAUCCAGAGAUGGGGCUGGAUUCUUGUCUAAGAAACAUCACAGACCCAUGGGCAGCUUUUCCUCAUCCUGGUGCACAGGUCUGACAACAGACCUGGCCAGUACUACAGCGAUUCUACUUGAAUGUGCUAAUCUGAUCCCACUAGAAAUCCACUGUCUAGCCAUCAGGGGGAUUUUCCCAGACCUUUAAACUUGCCACCUACAGACUGGAUGAAGACAGCAAAAGCAAGAGCCACGUUAUAUGGCCAGCCCUGUCACGAUUCUGCAUUCUGUCCCCCAUUUUUCACAGGGGAGCCAGGAAGAAUUGGUUUCACAGUGGUGAGACUCCCUAUCAUAAAACGAACAUAGGGAAACACGGUGGGUGAAAAGGGAAUUGUUACA